GGGUCGGUGCCCGAGCGGCCAAAGGGAGCAGACUGUAAAUCUGCCGGCUCAGCCUACGGAGGUUCGAAUCCUCCCCGGCCCA
rnacentral:tRNA from 1 species